UACGAAGGGUGCAAGCGUUACUCGGAAUUACUGGGCGUAAAGCGUGCGUAGGCGGUUUGUUAAGUCCGUUGUGAAAGCCCUGGGCUCAACCUGGGAAUUGCAGUGGAUGCUGGCGAGCUAGAGUGCGGUAGAGGAUGGUGGAAUUCCCGGUGUAGCGGUGAAAUGCGUAGAGAUCGGGAGGAACACCCGUGGCGAAGGCGGCCAUCUGGACCAGCACUGACGCUGAGGCACGAAAGCGUGGGGAGCAAACAGG
rnacentral:rRNA from 1 species